UUGCACGUCUUCUACUUCUGCCCCCUUUCCCUUUCCCCUUUCUCUGUCGAUGAAAGUAAGAUUGCUCAUCUAAUCAAAUCCGGUUCGUUCUUUGUUCUUGUCUGAUCAUGGCUGGAUAUCCUAGAUACUUCGGUCCAGAUGAUCCCAUUUUCAGACAUUUCUAUCAGAUCAAAAGGGGUAAGCGAAUGGGAUGGAUAAUGCACUUGGGCAAUUGAUAAGCGAAUGUGCUGGAUUUGACUCUGUAAAAGGAUUGGUCUAUCGAGCAAGUGUUUGUAGGUUUUGAUAGCAGAAAGGAGUAGCCUUAUUUGGGUGUCUCUGAGAAAGGAGAAGGUAUCAUUUCAUGGGACCAAGUCAAAUGCAAAACUGGAACCCCAAACAUACAAACCGUCUGUAUCCUCCACUUCUAGAAGGAAUAUAGUAAUUUAUAAGGAUUUUUUAUUUAAUUUUGUUAAGUUAUUGAAUGAAAUCAGUUAUUUAAUUUUGUUAAGUUAUUGAAAUUAGAUCGUGGCCUGAAUUUCAGUUCAAAAACAAAAUGGGAUUUAAAAAAGUGAACUUUCAAUCUUAAUAACUGCUCCUUCUAGAAGGAAUUAUUAACUUCAGAAUUAUAUAAGAAUAUAUAAAUUAUAUAACUUUUUAAUUAUUAACUUUAGAAUUAGUAAUUUUUUUCACACAGAACGUGUGUUUUAACACCUGGGUGGGUAGGUGGUUUUCUUUAAUGGGACUGUUUUCUUUUUCAAAAAAUGGAACGUGGGCUGGCUUUCAA
rnacentral:lncRNA from 1 species